CGGGGCGUAGCUCAGGUGGUAGAGCGCAGGCUUUGGGAGCCUGAGGUCGCCGGUUCAAGCCCGGCCGCCCCGA
rnacentral:tRNA from 2 species